AGUGAACGCUGGCGGUAGGCCUAACACAUGCAAGUCGAACGGCAGCACAGUAAGAGCUUGCUCUUACGGGUGGCGAGUGGCGGACGGGUGGGGAAUACAUCGGAAUCUACUUUUUCGUGGGGGAUAACGUAGGGAAACUUACGCUAAUACCGCAUACGACCUACGGGUGAAAGCAGGGGAUCUUCGGACCUUGCGCGAUUGAAUGAGCCGAUGUCGGAUUAGCUAGUUGGCGGGGUAAAGGCCCACCAAGGCGACGAUCCGUAGCUGGUCUGAGAGGAUGAUCAGCAACACUGGAACUGAGACACGGUCCAGACCCCUACGGGGGGCAGCAGUGGGAAAAUUGGGACAAUGGGCGCAAGCCUAACCCAGCCAUACCGCGGGGGUGAAGAAGGCCUUCGGGUGGUAAAGCCCUUUCGUUGGGAAAGAAAAGCAGCAGGUAAAUCCCCCGCGGUCCUGACGGUACCCAAAGAAUAAGCACCGGCAAACUUCUU
rnacentral:rRNA from 1 species